rnacentral:lncRNA from 1 species
AUACAUGCUUCAUCAUGUACUAGAAAAUAAGGCACUAGUAACAUAUUGAUACACUCUUCUCAAUUUCUUUUUGUUUUUUUAAAAUAGAUAUUUCUAUUUUUAUUUUUGUUGCUAUCAUGAAAUGUAGGUUAUUUACUUUUUAACUUUGGGUAUAAAUAUACAAAAGGAAAUCUAUAAGUUGUACCUAAUCUUACAGAACUGUAAUUUAACUAAUACAUCAUUAUUGGGAUUGUCUUAAUUUUCUGUUUUUUUUCCUUUCUCUGUUUGAGAACAAGGCUAAAGGUCAUUCUGUCCAUGAUCUUGCUGAGAUAGUUGCCCACCUAUCUUCAUACUUGAAGCAUGCUUGACCUAAGUCACAUGGAAAAAAAUCAGGACAAUAAACCUGGAUUCUAACACUUCCUCAGUCCAAUAAAAAAUGAGAGCUUCUCUAAUUGGCUCUAUCAUGUUACUCUGCAUGCCAAUAAAGUUUCUGCUUUCCCUUUUGAUUAGUUACAGAAAAUAAUAAAGUUUCUGCUUUCCCUUUUGAUUAGUUACAGAAAAUAAUAAAGUUUCUGCUUUCCCUUUUGAUUAGUUACAGCUAAACACGUACCACAACUACCAUGGAUUUAGAAAACCAUUAGGAUUGGAGAGGUGGCAGAGCUGCCUCCUUCAAUAUUAUUCCCAGCAGCACUGGUGCUGCAAAGGUAUUAAAAGGACCUGUAUCCAUGGAUUCAAAACCAAUCUUUUGGGUUGUCAUGAGCCACAUUCAGUUGAUGCACUACAGCCGAAUCUAUGAUUCUGUCUUCUCUAGUUGAUUUUCUUUGCUGGGAAAGGCAAAGGAAUUAUUCUGCAAAUACCACAUUCUAAUAGAAUGGAUGUAGAGCAUAUGGAAGGGUGGGAUUUAAUUAUAUUGUUGAUCAAAAUAUAAAUGUCUUUCUUCUUAUAAAGAUUAAUAUUUUUUUCCAACAACCAAGGGUGUUUGAUUUUUCUUUUUUCCUUAAUUCAUAUCAAUUCCAGUUGAAAGGCACGAUGAGUACAGAAGAAACUCAAAUUUUAUAAAGGAAUUCAUUUUCCUUGGUGGAUGUUUUCCUUCAUUCAUUAGAGUAACAAUGGCCAUACUGUUGCAUCAAGACACUGGUAAAAGCUAAUACAAUGGUUUGGAAUUAAUCAUUUUUCUUCCACUUUCUGAAAAAAUUAAUCUAAGAGAGUUGUGUAAAUGCAGUGUGGAGCAUCUGGAAAACAUAAGAAUACAUUAUCACCAGACACUCAAACGUUGGAGGAAAAAUUUCUUGGACAAUGAGAGGUAAGAAGCAUAAACUCUGCACCAAAAGAUGUAUUAUGUGCAGCAACUAGUUGAAUCAAGAAGUCUUCCUCUUCCAGUAAACAGGUUUUUUUGGAUAUAUAUUUCCAAACUGAAAUAUUUGAUUAAAAGGAUUUUGAGCACAUGCCCUUGGAAGAAGACAAAUCAAAACCUAGCAUCAGACAUUAUUUUCAAGUUAUUUCAUAUUUAUAGCUUGUUGGGUAUUAUAAAUGAAAAUGGUUUUGCCAGAAACAUUUUUGUUUCCAAAAAGGGAAAUGUUGGAGCAGUUGAAACUAAUUCUGGGGGCAACUUUUGUGUGUUGCGCAGAAAAAUUAUAGAGCUUGGAGUUUACUUUAUAUAUAAAUUUUAUGUUUUUCAGUUUUUGCAUGUCAGAUAAGAAUUGAUCUGAUUUAAUUAUUUUUUAGGAGGGUUGUUUCCAUUCUAUGAGCUUCCUAUGUACAUUUCAUAUAUCCUUAAUAUGGCGGGGUGUGAUUAUUUUAUUGAUCAAAGAGAGACAGUAGGUAUGCACAUAUUAAGGUAUACGUAAACUUUAUCAAGUUGAUGCUGUUGAUUUUCUCUACUUCUUUCCAGAAACUAAUACCAAAUUAUAGCUUGAUCCUUAUCUACAAACUAGUAGAUCAAGGCUGGACCUUACUGUGUCUAGACUGAAAGUUUUCAGACACACUUUUAUUAUAGAUCAAGCUAAUGUUGUUUCAACUCUCACUUCUCACAGCUUGUCUUUGUUCCUCACACUCUUUGAAGAUUCUAUUUAAAUGUCACAUGGAAUUUGUGAAACUUGGCAUUUAAAAGUGUGGUAAAUAAUCCCAUUCUUCAUGAUGUAGGCAUUGAAUUAAAAUCAUUUCAUGCAUUGGAACAAGUGUUUUAGAAAAACUGAGAUACAAGGUUGGAAUUAUUUUUCAUUUCUUUAAUACAUUGAGAAAAUUGAGUAUGAUAUCAAGGUUGGAAUUAUUGAGUAUGAAAGCAUUUAAUCAUUUCAAUUUUUCUUUACUAGAACCUCUUUUGAUUGAUCUCGGUCCCUUUGAUGGUGUCUUGCAAGAGAAUGGUAUCAUCUAUUGUCCUCAAGUAUUGUUAUUAGAUUAUUCCAUAUCAUCUAAUCGAAAACUAUGAAAAUUCUUACAAUAGAUGACUGAGAAAAUCACAUUGUCUAGUUAGAUGAGCAUUUAGAUAUUUAUUACAUAGGUUACACAUGUGAGGCUUAUUAUAAUUAAAUAUAAGAUCUAUGGUUUUUUACUUGUUCUGACUGAUUCCACUUUCUUGGAUGGUGCUUUGUAGGAGAAUGGUUUUUAUGCUGAGUUUGGUCUUGAUGUUUCUUAAGAUGCAAUAAUUGAUUUUGCUUCCUAAAGGGCAGAGAUUGAAAUUGUUUAUGGUGUUUCUGUGGAGAAGAGCUUGAUUGGCCACUGUGCACCUUUGUUGUCGAUGCUUUGUAGAAAUUUUGGUUUGAUGCAAGAGGUGUAGCUCUCCCUCUUCACUUCUCAUAGCUAUGUCUAAGUUCCUCACAUUAUUUGAAGAUUUUGUUUAAACUCCACAUGGAAUUUACAAACCUUGACAUUUGAAUGUGUGGUAAGUAAUCUCAUCCUUCAUGAUGGAGGUAUUGAGCUAAAACCUUUUAGCCUGACAUUGGCAUUGGUUUUGGAAGUUUAGACUAGAUUUUUUCUUAAAAUUCAACAAAAUUCAUUUAUAAGGUGAAAAUAGUUUUUUUUCCCACUAUUUUUGAAAUUUAAAUUUCCUUUGAAUUUUAAUAUUUUAUUAUGCUUUUGGGAACAUAUGUUAUUUUGUGAAUUGGAGUGUUGGAUAUUUUUAUAUGCAUAUAUGCUAUUCUUUUGUAUAUGUUAGAUGAAGGGAAUAUAUUUCAUAUUAACGUACCAUUCACUAAAAAUCACUGGUGUUGUCAUUAUGGUAUUUUACAUUAUUACUAUGGAUGCGAUUGUAAUUUACCCUAGACCUAUAUCGUGCCGUAGAAAUGGAGGGGUGCACUGUAGCCAAUUAACCUAGUAAUCUUUUAUGCCAAGAGAUAAAGGGGCACUAGAGCAGUUUGUAUGAGAAGUGUGUCGAGAGAUGUAGGGAUAUUGUGUCUAUAAGGCACCAUGAUAUUUGAGACAUAUGUCGCCUGCGGUUGCAUAUGUGAUACAUGCUGAUGAAGGAAAGGGCAUUGUAGCAGUUAUAUUGCAUAUGUGUCGAGAGUUGGAGUGACAUUGUAGCCAUGGAUUAUGCAUGUGUUUGAUUGAUUAUACAUCGGGUAGUCCAAUGUUGCAUGUCUACUUGAUUGUUAUACCAUAUAUUAUCUACGUUGAGUGUUACCUACAUGAUAAAACUCCUCUUUCUACUUUGGACUGACCACACUACAACCUGUAUUAUAUGAUCAUUCACUGAGUUAUUCACUUUGUAGUUCCCUAAAUUUUUUAGAUGAGGACCUAGUAGAACCAAAUACCAAGCAAGGUAUGGAGGAUAGUCAACAAGGCAUAUAAAUGUUGUUGUCGUUUCCUUUUGCUUCUUUUUGGAUAGACUACUGGCAUGUAGCCAUUUUCUUAGGUAUGUACAAGUUUUCGAUCCCUUAAGACCAGCUUUUAUGUAUGCAAAACUGUUUAUCUCGGACAUAGUAAUGAAUUUAUAGUUCCUUUAAUAUGCAUCCUUGUAUUGCUUUGACAUAGUAUAUCUUGUCACAAGUUAAUUUUCUUUCAUAGGAUAGUAUCUACAUCUCAGUCUUCAGACUAGGGAAGAGACGUUGUCUUGCGUGGAUGGCGCUUGCAAGGGUGGGUCGUCACAUUUUUUGUACAUAUUAACCAUAUUUUGUGGUUUUAAUCUGUUUUUCUUCUUACUCAAACUUGUAUGAGUAUCAUUUAAUAUCUUUGAUGCAGUGUUUUUCUAUGUUGAAGAGCAAGAUGCAUUUGAUGUGUAUUCCAUAAUCAAUGGCUUCUCUAGUCUUACCCUUUCUUGUAAAAUGUAAAGUAGAUGUUGUAUAGUCUUAGGUCCAAUCUCAGUGUUCUUCCAAAUCUGAAUUCUCUUUUUUGAGUUUCUAAUGAUCAUGUUGAUGAUGUACUAAUUCUUGAUCAGGUGGCCUUGCAUCGAAAUGCUUUUAAAAUCUAUACUUUUUUUUUCCCAACAACAACCCCAAGGUACUCUUCCAUUUUAUGUGCAUGUGUGUCAUAUUGGGAAGUUGCUACUAAUUUAUGAAAGUGUUCUUGUAAUGGAUUUAGGCAGUACUAGUUGUAAGAAGAAACAACCUAUACACUCUUGGAAUUGGAAACAACAGAGGGGUUAACUCCAUGAGACCAUAUGCAAAUUACUUAUUUUUUGUUGUAAAUCAAGUUGGGUGAGUAGUUGGAUUUGUUUUAAUUUUAUUUUGCAUGUUUAUCUUUGUAGGUUUAAUUUACAUCUCUUGUACACUAUGGUUAAGAACACAAUACUGUUAAAAGAUUGAAAGACAAAAGAUGCUCUCUGUGAUUUAAUGGGGACAUGUGCUACCAAAUACCACUAUAUGGUGCAAUCAUGUGUUGUUGGUAGUUUGGUUGGUUCUCCUAUCAUAGAGGUUGGAAGGACAAACCGAAAAGACUAUGUGAAGGACAAAGUUGGGGCUAUAAAUAUCAGACGUUGCUUUCUUGUGGAGCUCGUUGAUAGAUUUGCAAAGUUGAUUUUAGCCAACACAGGUUGUCCUGUAUUUUCUUAGGACUAGUCCACUUAUGAAGCCGUGGAGAAUGUGUUUGUUACCAUAUAUAUCAAGAAAAGUUUGUUUUCUUUAAUUAUCCUACAAAUUCAUGGCAUCUAAACAAGUGGGGUAAAUCUUUUGGUUCAUGAUUUAUAUUCAGUUUUCUUAUCAAUGGUGUUUUUUCCCAUCAACAAUUGAUAAAACCCUCAAAUAUUCUCAACCAUGAGAAAUGGGAAGAAAAGCAAAAAUAAAAAAUUAAAAUUAAUAAUCAAUUGAACAUUUGAGUAAUCCAUUGUUUUUUUUAUAUUAUUUUUUAAUAAUUUUUAUUUGAUACCUGGUGAACAAACUCUCUCUUGUGCAUCAAAUUCAACUAUUCUGUGUAUUUGAGUUAAGUUUUCACUUUCCAAGUUAGAUUCAAAUAUCUAUUUUAUUCUCAUUAGUCAUUUUUCUAAGUAAAGAUAUUGACAUUAGUUAUUUUGCAUAUUUUAACCAUUUUUUUUUUUUUAGGAUUUUAAUAUUUUUUUCUUUUUAUGCAAAUAGAUGUAUUAUUUGAUCUCUCUUGGAAAGAGUUUUUCUGUCUCGAAGAGUAAGACGUGUUUGAUCAUGUAUGUUCAUUAAUCAAAGGUUUCUCUAGUCUCACAUUAUCUUGUAAAUUAAAUCUUGGGGAGAGUCCUAGGCCCAAUCUGAGCGUUCUUCCAAAGGUGGAUUCUCCAUCUCGAGUUACUUACGAUUUGUUGAUAAUGUACUGAUCCUUGAUUGGGUAGCCUCACAUUGGAUUGCUUUUAAAACCUAUACUUUUUUGCUUCUCAAUAUUGUCCUCAUUCUGGGGUCUAAUAUUGGUUUCAACAACUCCAAGGUUGCUUGAACUGCAUGCUUGGAUCGGAUGCAUUACUCUUACAAGUUUUCUAAAGAGCGAAAGAAAAACCUAUUGUCUAAUAAUGAGACCCUGAUAUUUGGCAUUCUGAAAAGCUUAAUCACCCGUUUUUGGCUGUUAGAUAACUUAUGGUAUGCGGUUACUGAUAAUGUUAUUGAUUUUAUUUAUGCAAUUCAUCCAACUAUUGAAACCUUAGUUGUUGACUUGAAGAAAAUGUCUCUUAGUUGCAAAAUUACAUUGAAAGUGGUAUCAUGCGUCCUUUCAACUAUUCUUGUAACAAAACUUAGUAGAUAUUUAUUCAUUAUGUUCCAUGUUGCUAUUAACCAAUUGACGCAUAUGGUGUCAUGUAUCCAAAUAGAAAUCUUAAUUGACAGUUUUGGCUGCCAGGAAACAUGAUGGUAUGCUGCUGCUGAUAAUGUUAUUGUUGCUAUCUAUGCUACUCAUCCAACUCCUAUGGAGAAAUAUGGAAGUUGUGGUUGAAAAGGUUUGCAAUAGGUUUGGUGGAGUCACAUGUAUUGUUUAUACUAUUGUUUUAAUUAUAUUUUCAUCUAUCAUGUGCUAAUAUGACAACUUAUUACCAUGUCAGGUUUUAAUGCAUGACUUCAUUAUAAGAUAUAAUGUCAUGGCACCUACGCUUGGACUAGUCUCUUAUUUACCCAUAUUGGAGACAUACUUCAUUAAUAACCUAGCAAGGUAUUAAGUUGUUCUUGCAUUACCUCAUUUACAGUUUAUUUUUUUAUUAAUUGGUGUAUUUUUUUCACACUAAUGAAAACCAGAGUAAAAUUUUGAAACAAAUAAACAAAAUACUCUUAGUCAUGACUCUUUUUCUCUCUAAUUUUGAAACGAUCUUAAAAAACAAAAUUUAAAAAUUACCAUGUGUCCCAGUUUAAAAAAACAUAUCUAAAUAGGCCUUGAAAAUAAAUAAACUAGGACAAAUGAAAUUAAUUAUUGGGACAUGAAAAUAUUAUAUAAAUUCUGGUUAAAUGAAGCCGAUGAUCUGAUAUAGAUAUACCAUUCUCAUUCUUUAGUCCUGAGACUUUCCUUUCUUUCACCUCUUUUCUUCUCCUCUUCUCUUUUAUGUACCUUAUUGUCGUCACGAUCUCACCUUCUCGUUCCAAACAAAAACAAAUUUUUUCCCUUGGUAGCAUAGAAAGUGAAAGAAACUGGAGGUAGGAAGACGAGGCUUUUGUGUCUCAUCUAUGGUGGCGUCUCCCAGAAGUGGAAUCUAGGGCGCAGCAGAAAGAAGGGGAAGUGAAAGGCGGAGGACUUUUGAGUUUUAUUGGCCGAGAGGCUAGGGCACGAUGUGAUUUGGUUCGAUCUUGGUGUGGAAGCUCGGGGAAUCAGCUUAGUGCGUAGUGGUUUUGUGGUUGUGGGAUUUUGGAAACCUUAGAUUUGGGUUAGGGUUGUGUGGUUGGCUGAUUAAGCUAGGGGCGGGGCUGCCCAUGCGAUUGACUGGGUUUUCAUGCCGUCAAAACCACUUCCUUGGGAUCAGGACUUCUUCAAGGAGAGGAGAGGAAGCACGAGAGGUCGGAGUCUUUAAGUUUGUUGCAAGAUAGAGGACUCGCAUCAGGGUUCUUGGAAGUUUGCUCGUCGGAAUAGGCAGACUUGCGCCGUCCUACAGGUAAGUUGAAUCCCACCGGUUUCUUGAUGAUGUCGGUUUUGCUUUAAACCAAGAAAAAUAGUCGGGUUCUUGGAAAAUUUGGUCUCCGAGCCCUUUUGUUUUUUAUGAUUUGUUCCUUUUUGGUUUUUAAUUUUGAAUUUAUUCUCUCCACGGAAGAAGCACGAGAGGUCGGAGUCUUUAGGUUUGCUGCAAGAUAAAGAAACUCGCAUCAGGUUCUUGGGAGUUUGCUCGCCGGGAUCGGUAGACUUUCGGUCCCCUAUAGGUGAGUUAUGAACUCAGGUUCUUGAUGAUUGUGAUGAAAUUCGUAGGUUUUGGUUUAAACCAAGAAUAAUAAUAGGGUUCUUAGAAAAUUUAGUCCGAGUCCUUUUGUUUUAUUUAUUUUUAUUUUUUAUGAUUUGUUCUUUUUUGGUUUUUAAUUUUUAAUUUAUUCUUUCCACGGGUCUGAUUUUUUAUUUUGGGGAAUUAGUUUUUGAUGAUGAUUCUUUCAUGGUUAUUGUAGAUUUGUGUUUUUUAGUCCAUUCGUUUGUUAAUGUGCUGUUUAGUUGUGCAGAAAUUGUAAUUAAAAAAACAGAUUGUUUUUUAUCUUUUUAAGUCAAAUAAAACUACCUGUAAGAAAGUUCUAGGUUUUGAAUUUUUGAAGUUUCAUCGUGUUCUUUGGUAUUUUGAUUUUUACCAUGAACUUUUCUUACCUAUCAAAAAAAAAAAAAAAAGCUGGGCUAGAAAUUCAUAGACAUCAACUUGCUCAAAUCCAUGAUAGAAAACCCUAUCAAAGCUAAAGGUGAAAAUCCUCUCCCUUCUCAUCCUACCAUUCAUCAAUUCAAUUAUUAUAAUGAUUUUUUUCAUGAAUAAAUGAACAGAAACAAAUAAGUAGCAAUUUUUAGUGAAAGAUAACCUUGAAAAUGGAAGUUUCUGAAUCUAGGCUUUGGACAAAAAAUGUAUCACCAUGAUCUUUUCUCUCUUUUGAACUUAAAGGUCUAAAACAUGCAUAGACUGUUAUGUGCGACAUAAUUUUAUGGUGCCAAAAACCUUUAUCUUCCAAGAAUUAGUGCAUAACUAUCAUGAAAUUCAGCAAAAUAGAGUAUGACUUAAUCCACCUGAAAAUUCUAGAACUAGAGCUUUGUUUUGUCAUUGAGGCAUUUUCUAAUUCAUUACUGAAAAUUUUACAUUAUUAUUUAUUAGCACAGUAGCAACUAUCACACAAACUUGUAUUUGUCACUUAGAAGGUUUGAAACCUCUAAUUGGUGAUACACUCCUUGUUGCAGGGACACUUUUCUUUGCCAUGAGCAAUGUUGGUGAGGUGGGUAAAUAUCAAUACACUUGAAUAUGAUUGUCACAUCAUUUGGGGGCUUUUGACUCUGGAAGAUUUCUGAUUAAUGUCAUUAAAUUUUUUCUUUUUCUUUUGAAACAAUAUGCCCCUCGAAGACUUGCUUUGAAUAAAUAAGAUUUUAACUUGUUUAGCAUUGUCUAUUGUUGUCUUAUUGCAUUAGAGAGAAGAAAAAAUUACACCUUGAUUCCUUUAUUCUCCUUUACAAUUCUAUCUAGUUAACAUCCUAAACAAUUUAUCAUCUUUGAAAACUUGAAGACCUUCUACUUCUAGCUUUAUCUUGCAGAAGGACAAUGAUUCCUGAUCUAUCUGAAUGAGGUUUAACACCAAGAACCAGAUUAGGCCUUGGACAACUCAGAUGGAAAUUAAAUCUUGUCUGCAUCACUGCUCCAUCUCCAAAUUGACUUGAGCUUUUCUUAUUUACUGACAUUCUAUUUUUGUACAGAUUUAUAUACACUGGAUCUGUAGAAAUUAUAUUGGAUAUUGCACAAGAUCUCCUCAUAGCUACUGAUCAGUAUCUGUUGCAGGGAUAAAGCGUCCCUGUGAGUGUACCAUUGCCCAUGUGAGUUAAGGAGCUCGAUUUUUUGGAUAUGAAUUCCUUUACUGCUUUGAAUCAGAUUGUGGACACCUGGUGACUCUUUUAUUUUUAUUUUCAAGGAUAUAUCACUGGAAAAUGUUUCAAGAAUGCAUGAGCUUUCAGAAGCCUUCCAUGCUAUUUCCUUAAGACACACAUGCCUCAUGUCUAUCUUGGAGCAGUUUAGUAAACUGAGUUCUAGGGCAGGGUAUGUGAUGCUCUCUCUCUCUCUCUCUCUCUCUCUCUCUCUCUCAAUCUAUUUAUAUCUGCCAUUUCUACUAAUAGCUUACUAAGGAAGAAGUUGGAAAUACUUUUGGAGUUGUAGGAAGUCUCAAUGGAGGCAAUUGCCUGGUUGUCCACUCUAAAUGAAUAGCCAACUAACCGAAGCAAAAGGAGGAUAGCGCAAUGCAAGAAAAAAAAAAAACUAUUUUUAAGUUCAUUGGUCAUUUUAGCUCAACAUUGGUCUAUCACUGGUAGAAACAUGCCUCCGAAAAUCAUGAUUUUCCAUUGUUAAAAAAAGCCUAACCCACAUAAUUCGAGGCUAUAAUACAACUGACAUUUGAUUCUUGAUCUCUAGCUAAAUAUAUUGUAUAGAAAGUGGUAGAAAAUAAGGCUGCAGGUUGCUUUCAGAAAAUUGGCUGCAAGUUAUACAUGCUUCAUCAUGUACUAGAAAAAUAAGGCACUAGUAACAUAUUGAUACACUCUGCUCAAUUUCUUUUUGUUUUUUUUAAAUAGAUACUUCUAUUUUUAUUUUUGUUGUUAUCAUGAAAUGUAGGUUAUUUACUUUUUAACUUUGGGUAUAAAUAUACAAAAGGAAAUCUAUAAGUUGUACCUAAUCUUACAGAACUGUAAUUUAACUAAUACAUCAUUAUUGGGAUUGUCUUAAUUUUCUGUUUUUUUUCCUUUCUCUGUUUGAGAACAAGGCUGAAGGUCAUUCUGUCCAUGAUCUUGCUGAGAUAGUUGGCCACCUAUCUUCAUACUUGAAGCAUGCUUGACCUAAGUCAUCUGGAAAAAAAUCAGGACAAUAAACCUGGAUUCUAACACUUCCUCAGUCCAAUAAAAAAUGAGAGCUUCUCUAAUUGGCUCUAUCAUGUUACUCUGCAUGCCAAUAAAGUUUCUGCUUUCCCUUUUGAUUAGUUACACAAAAA